rnacentral:rRNA from 1 species
AGGAUCAUUACCGAAUUGUUAACAAGAGUUGUUGCUGGUCCCCAUACAGGGGCAUGUGCACGCUCUGUUUACACAUCCACUCACACCUGUGCACCCUCUGUAGUUCUAUGGCCUGGGUGGGCUCUGUCCCUCCUGCUGUGGUUCUACGUCUUUACACACACACUACAACAAAGUCUCAUGGAAUGUAUGUCGCGUUUAACGCAAUGAAAUACAACUUUCAGCAACGGAUCUCUUGGCUCUCGCAUCGAUGAAGAACGCAGCGAAAUGCGAUAAGUAAUGUGAAUUGCAGAAUUCAGUGAAUCAUCGAAUCUUUGAACGCACCUUGCGCCCUUUGGCUAUUCCGAAGGGCAUGCCUGUUUGAGUAUCAUGAACACCUCAACUCUCGUGGCUUGCCAUGAUGAGCUUGGACUUUGGGGGUCUUGUUGGUCUAUGAGCCAGCUCCUCUCAAAUGAAUUAGCUUGCCAGUGUUUGGUGGCGUCACAGGUGUGAUAACUAUCUACGCUUGUGUUUUCCCACCAGGUAACCUUCAGCAAUGGAGGUUCACUGGAGCUUAUAAACGUGUCUCUCCCAUGCGAAGACACAUUUUGACCAUUUGAUCUCAAAUCAGGUAGGACUACCCGCUGAACUUAAGCAUAUCAAUAAGCGGAGGAAAAGAAACUAACAAGGAUUCCCCUAGUAACUGCGAGUGAAGCGGGAAGAGCUCAAAUUUAAAAUCUGGCUGCCUCUGGCUGUCCGAGUUGUAGUCUGGAGAAGCGUUUUCCGUGUUGGAUCGUGUAUAAGUCUCUUGGAACAGGGCGUCAUAGAGGGUGAGAAUCCCGUCUUUGACACGGACUACCAAUGCUUUGUGAUGCGCUCUCAAAGAGUCGAGUUGUUUGGGAAUGCAGCUCAAAAUGGGUGGUAAAUUCCAUCUAAAGCUAAAUAUAGGCGAGAGACCGAUAGCGAACAAGUACCGUGAGGGAAAGAUGAAAAGCACUUUGGAAAGAGAGUUAAACAGUACGUGAAAUUGCUGAAAGGGAAACGCUUGAAGUCAGUCACGUCUGCCAGGACUCAGCCUUGCUUCUGCUUGGUGCACUUUCUGGUUUGACGGGCCAACAUCAAUUUUGACCGUUGGAGAAAGGCUUUGGGAAUGUGGCACCUUCGGGUGUGUUAUAGCCCAUUGUUGUAUACAACGGUUGGGAUUGAGGACCGCAGCACGCCUUCAUGGCC